GAUGAAGAACGUAGCGAAAUGCGAUACUUGGUGUGAAUUGCAGAAUCCCGUGAACCAUCGAGUCUUUGAACGCAAGUUGCGCCCGAAGCCAUCAGGUUGAGGGCACGUCUGCCUGGGCGUCACAUAUCGUUGCCCAAUGCCUAUUGCAGUGCAAUAGGAAUUUCUAGGGCGAAUGAUGGCUUCCCGUGAGCGUUGUUGCCUCGCGGUUGGUUGAAAAUCGAGUCCUUGGUAGGGUGUGCCAUGGUAGAUGGUGGUCGAGUUAGAACGAUACCGAUCAUGUGCAUGCUCCCCAAAAUAUGGCCUCUAUGACCCACACACGUCUUUUGACGCUCAUGACGAGACCUCAGGUCAGGCGGGGCUACCCGCUGAAUUUAAGCAUAUAAUAAGCGGAGGA
rnacentral:misc_RNA from 1 species